rnacentral:rRNA from 1 species
UACGUAGGGUGCAAGCGUUGUUCGGAAUUACUGGGCGUAAAGCGCGCGUAGGCGGGCUUGAAAGUUGAUUGUGAAAGCCCUGGGCUUAACCCGGGAAUGGCAGUCAAAACUUCAAGUCUUGAGUGCCUGAGAGGAUGGCGGAAUUCCCGGUGUAGUAGUGAAAUACGUAGAUAUCGGGAAGAACACCUGAGGCGAAGGCGGCUAUCUGGCGGUGCACUGACGCUGAGGAGCGAAAGCCAGGGGAGCAAACGGG